rnacentral:rRNA from 1 species
AGCAUGUGGUUUAAUUCGAUGAUACGCGAGGAACCUUACCUGGGCUCAAAUGUAUGUUGACGUAUUCUGAAAGGGAUACUUCUUCGGACAAUAUACAAGGUGCUGCAUGGCUGUCGUCAGCUCGUGUCGUGAGAUGUUGGGUUAAGUCCCGCAACGAGCGCAACCCUUGCCUUUAGUUGCCAGCAGUUCGGCUGGGCACUCUAAAGGGACUGCCGGUGUUAAACCGGAGGAAGGUGGGGAUGACGUCAAGUCCUCAUGGCCUUUAUGACCAGGGCUACACACGUACUACAAUGGCCGAUACAAAGGGCAGCGACACUGCGAGGUGAAGCCAAUCCCGUAAAAUCGGUCUCAGUCCGGAUUGGAGUCUGCAACUCGACUCCAUGAAGUUGGAAUCGCUAGUAAUCGUGGAUCAGCAUGCCACGGUGAAUACGUUCCCGGGCCUU